CCACCCACUCACACCCACCUC
rnacentral:misc_RNA from 1 species